AAAUUGAUAGCACACUAGCGUCUUCAUCGACGGAAUCGUGGAAAAUAGGUCGGCGGUAAGUGGAAUUCGACGUGAUGCUGAAUUGUUUAAUGUAUUAUUCUGCAUGUGGACUUGGACAUGUUCCACUGGCAUUAAAGUCCAUAAAAGGCGAAUUACAGAAAGGACUGUGAGGGUAUCUGUGCGUAGAGUGUAGUAAAAUUAAAUGCCAGUUGGUAAACAAUGCUUGGUAUGGUUAAACCCACACAGUCUAAGACAAAGGAAAAAUGGACCUGGAAAAGUGGAAUACCAUGCUUUGUUGUCAACACAAAACUUGGAACAGCAAUGGUGGGCAGCCUGGGUGGACCAUCCCGUGUAAACAAUAUGUUGUCCACAUUAAACCUAAAAAAAUAUCGGACACCAACUUAAAAAUAAUGGAACAGCCAGCUGGUGAGGUGAAAGAGCAAGUUGCAACUGAAUAAGCUAGGAUUGCUUUCUCAAAUAAAAUAACUUGAAGGAAGGGAACUCCUGCAGGUUACUCAUAUGCAUCGGUGGAAGUCCAGUCUGGUAGUCAGCAUACGUCACGCCAACUGUUCCAAUAACUAAAGAGGCUUUACAAGUUACAGGCAUUUCAUUGACUGAUGGGACAAUGACAUUCAUUGGAUAAGUUGUGCUGCCAGUGUCAAUAUGAGUGGCUGUCGAAAGAAUUAUACAUUGGCUUGAACAGUUUUCAAAUGUGUGCUUAGUUGUUCGAAAUGGUCGUCGUUUUGAUUAAACAAUCUUUGUUUCGAUCUAGGUAAAUGUAAGUGCAAUUGAUAUUUUCUAUAACUGUGUUUUUAUCGAUUCUCCAUCAAUAUUCAGACAAUUAUAUCCAAAGCAGUCCUUAAAGCAAGUGAAUUUAGUUUUACAAUUGCUUGGUGAAACAUACAAUGUCCCGAUGCUAUGGCAGAUGUGGCAGCACUUUAAAAGUUGCUCCAAUUUGUGAAUUUAUUUAUGGUACUGCAUUAUUUCCAUAAUGCCCGUUAUAAAUGCAACACAUUUCAUCAAAGCACCCUUACUUCUUUUUGAGUUAUCGUAGGAUCCAUUUUGUUUGAUGUUUUGUUUCUAUUUUUAUUAACAGUGACCUGAUCAAUCUCAUAAGCUGAAAAAUGAAGGGUUGUACUUAAUCCCUACAUUGCCUUUUAUAUGCAUGCCAAGGCUCACCAAAUGGGCUAAAGUAUUUGUAACUAAGUGCAGGAUAUAGUGUAGAAAGCCCUGUCCAUGUCAAAGGAACUUAUAAGUAUACGCUUAUUUAGUUUCGUUAUGAAAUUUUGCAUUAAUAUUUGUGUUUGUACAUUGUUAUUAAAUGAAUACAAGCUUGUUAGGUAGGGGUCAUUAUAAUUUAAAUCUUACAAUGUUAUAGAUCUUUGUUAACAGAGAAAAAUACUUAGUAUACAACUUUGUUUUGUUUUUUCACUUUUCAUACCUACUCGUGCAUACACCCCCACCACCUCACCAACGCCAUCCACACAUUGGCAGAUUUAGCAUUACUGCAUAAUGUAUUAAAACUAUGUAUAAAGAGAAUAAGAACAUUGAAGGUGCUAACUGAAUUAGUAAAUGCCUCUGUUUAUUUUUAUAGUCCUAUUAGAUUUUAGUGCAUUGUUCAAUAUAC